rnacentral:sRNA from 1 species
GGGACAUUGCUCUUUCAUCCCAGCCGCAACUCCAACUUUCACAAUUUCAAAGGAAAAAGACGUGAGAUGGGCGAACCGAGACAAUAACAUUAAAAAAGCCUGGGCAUUCCUACCAGCCAACAGAGUGCCUCUUUAACAGAUUCAUUCAACCUCGUUUCCGCAUUUGCAUUCUUAAUCUCGUUGAAUAUCCAUGGAUAAGGAGACGCUUAAAUAGGCUCCAGGUAGAACAGCUUCCAGGCUUGCUCAUUGACAUAAAAAACCACGCAUUAUACCAACAGCCUCAGAAAGCGCUCAAUAUUGAAGAAAACCUCUCAGCGACGAUCCGAUCUACGACCGUCAAGAAACAAAAGUCAUUCUUGCAAGGCCCCAAAGUCACUGCACACCAUAUCCACCAGCUGCUUCGUGGAAUUCAAGGGGAGAAAUCUAAAAUCUGCAAUGAAAAUUGAAUUGGAAUUCGAUGCCUGGGGAUUUUAUUUCGGUUUUCCCUUAAGCUCUCUGGGAAGGAAACUCCGACACGAAAAUAUCAGCCAUGGCAGACGAUGAUAUAUACAAAAACUGAUCAAUUCAGUUCUGAUCUCAAUUUGCCUCUUUGCCUUUCUCAACACAAACGGAGAAAUAUAAAGAUGAACUGCUCAAAUAUGAAACAGAAGCUAACCCGCUGCUGGCCUACACCCUGAGGUUUUUGGAUUAUUGUAGAAAAGGUUCCCUUUUUCCAAAAUGCCGUUAGCACACCGGUUUUUUGCCAAAGGCUACAGGAGGCAUCACAGCAAGAAAGGAGGCUAACUGGGUAGACGCACGAUCCGAACAGGAGAACAAAAAUGUGGAUAGGGAAUCCGCAACAAAGGGUGCGAAAAUAGGGGAGUAUCUGAAAAGGGAAAGAUACAAAUACACGAAGAGAAAACGUGAGAACCGUGACACCCCGAAAUCAAUCGUCACCAUGAUGCCUUGCUGAAAAUCCACGGUUGCAAAAAUAAACACGACAAACGCUAGAAAUCACAGUAGAUGGCUGAAACGAGAAAGCACUCAGGAAAAACGGGAAAAGAAAUCUUGCGAUAAGGCGUUACCAUCAUGGCCAGCAAUUAGAAUUUGUCCCCUGACUCCGUGCUUUCAAUAGCUUAAAACGAACGCCACCGCGUCCAAACAUCCAUGCAAAGUUAGAUAGUCGAAACGAAACGAGAUGAGGACGGAAAUGUUUUGUUAAAAAAUAAAAAGAAAAGAAAGGAAGGAAAGAAAAUGAAAAAUGAAAACGUUACGCAAAAGUUGCAGCAUGGAUAUGAA